UGCCGCUGCAGGACGACGCGCUCAACCAGGAGCGCUAUCGGCGCUACGCGGAGCGGCACGGGACGUACGGGGUGUUCGAGACGCCCGACGGCGG
rnacentral:tRNA from 1 species